rnacentral:rRNA from 1 species
GUGGGGAAUAUUGGACAAUGGGCGCAAGCCUGAUCCAGCCAUGCCGCGUGAGUGAUGAAGGCCUUAGGGUUGUAAAGCUCUUUUGUCCGGGAAGAUAAUGACUGUACCGGAAGAAUAAGCCCCGGCUAACUUCGUGCCAGCAGCCGCGGUAAUACGAAGGGGGCUAGCGUUGCUCGGAAUCACUGGGCGUAAAGGGCGCGUAGGCGGACUCUUAAGUCGGGGGUGAAAGCCCAGGGCUCAACCCUGGAAUAGCCUUCGAUACUGAGAGUCUUGAGUUCGGAAGAGGUUGGUGGAAUUGCGAGUGUAGAGGUGAAAUUCGUAGAUAUUCGCAAGAACACCAGUGGCGAAGGCGGCCAACUGGUCCGAUACUGACGCUGAGGCGCGAAAGCGUGGGGAGCAAACAGGAUUAGAUACCCUUGUAGUCC